rnacentral:lncRNA from 1 species
AAAAACUUCUUUAGCUUUCAAAAUGGUAUAUAGUACAAACAGUGAAGCUAAUAUAGACACAUCUGAUCAUUCAUCAUCAACAAUAACUGCAUCUGAGAAUUAUAGUUCUACAGUAACCGUGGAGUCUAGGUCAACAAUUACUAUUUCUCAUCCAAGCCGUUUUUGUUUAACUGCUACACAUUCCCUGACUCUGCCAAGGAAAAGGGUAAAAUCAAAAUGAUAUCCUGAGGACCUAAGCACUGAUGAUUCCACCGUUUCAAGAGCUUAAUCACUUGUCACCAGAUUAUGGAAAAAAAAAUAAAGAACAAAAAAUUAAAAUUCGAAGAUUGCAACAAGCAAAUUUGCGCCAAAGAAAUUAAAUUAGAUGUCUCAAGUCAUUAUUAAAAUACUUACAUGAAAUAAUAACAUGAUUUUAUGGAAAAGCCCAACAUACUACAUAUUUUAUUUGACUUGUAAAAGCACUUGUUUGUAUAUUACUACUAAUAAA